rnacentral:tRNA from 2 species
GCCCAGGUGGCGGAAUUGGUAGACGCGCUGGUUUCAGGUAUCAGUGGUAGAAAUACCGUGGAAGUUCGAGUCUUCUCCUGGGCACCA